rnacentral:SRP_RNA from 1 species
ACAGGGUGCACUAACAAUAAACAGUUAUGAACUCCGCCAGAUCCGGAAGGAAGCAACGGUAAUAAUUUUUUUAUGUGUUAGCCGUUAUUCUGACAC